rnacentral:tRNA from 3 species
GGGAGUAUAGCUCAGUGGUAGAGCAAACGGUCGAUAACCGUUAGGUCGCUGGUUCAAGCCCAGCUACUCCCACCA